rnacentral:rRNA from 1 species
AUUGAACGCUGGCGGCAGGCUUAACACAUGCAAGUCGAGCGGGGGAGGUUGCUUCGGUAACUGACCUAGCGGCGGACGGGUGAGUAAUGCUUAGGAAUCUGCCUAUUAGUGGGGGACAACAUUCCGAAAGGAAUGCUAAUACCGCAUACGCCCUACGGGGGAAAGCAGGGGAUCUUCGGACCUUGCGCUAAUAGAUGAGCCUAAGUCGGAUUAGCUAGUUGGUGGGGUAAAGGCCUACCAAGGCGACGAUCUGUAGCGGGUCUGAGAGGAUGAUCAGCCACACUGGGACUGAGACACGGCCCAGAAUCCUACGGGAGGCAGCAGUGGGGAAUAUUGGACAAUGGGCGGAAGCCUGAUCCAGCCAUGCCGCGUGUGUGAAGAAGGCCUUUUGGUUGUAAAGCACUUUAAGCGAGGAGGAGGCUACUUAGAUUAAUACUCUGGGAUAGUGGACGUUACUCGCAGAAUAAGCACCGGCUAACUCUGUGCCAGCCGCCGCGGUAAUAC